CAAUACUCCCGCCGGCGACCGGCGCACGGGUGAGUAACACGUAUGAAACCUGCCCGUAGCAGGGGGAUAACCGGGAGAAAUCCCGCCUAAUACAACAUAAUGCCGGGAGGGGACAUCCCCUGCCGGCCAAAGGGGGCGACCCCGGUCACGGAUGGGCAUGCGGCGCAUUAGGUAGUUGGUGGGGCAACGGCCCACCAAGCCGACGAUGCGUAGGGGUUCUGAGAGGAAGGUCCCCCACAUUGGAACUGAGACACGGUCCAAACUCCUACGGAAGGCAGCAG
rnacentral:rRNA from 1 species